rnacentral:rRNA from 1 species
AUUGAACGCUGGCGGCAGGCCUAACACAUGCAAGUCGAGCGGAUGAAGGGAGCUUGCUCCUGGAUUCAGCGGCGGACGGGUGAGUAAUGCCUAGGAAUCUGCCUGGUAGUGGGGGAUAACGUCCGGAAACGGGCGCUAAUACCGCAUACGUCCUGAGGGAGAAAGUGGGGGAUCUUCGGACCUCACGCUAUCAGAUGAGCCUAGGUCGGAUUAGCUAGUUGGUGGGGUAAAGGCCUACCAAGGCGACGAUCCGUAACUGGUCUGAGAGGAUGAUCAGUCACACUGGAACGGAGACACCGUCCAGACUCCUACGGGAGGCAGCAGUGGGGAAUAUUGGACAAUGGGCGAAAGCCUGAUCCAGCCAUGCCGCGUGUGUGAAGAAGGUCUUCGGAUUGUAAAGCACUUUAAGUUGGGAGGAAGGGCAGUAAGUUAAUACCUUGCUGUUUUGACGGUACCAACAGAAUAAGCACCGGCUAACUUCGUG